rnacentral:ncRNA from 1 species
UGAUAGCUAUGAAGCGUGAGGUUGCUCAAUCGAAAGAUUUGAGGUUUUCCGUGGAGCGAAUGUCAAGUUAAAAAACUGGCGACAA